UACAGAGGGGGCAAGCGUUGUUCGGAAUUACUGGGCGUAAAGGGCGCGUAGGCGGCCUGUUAAGUCGAACGUGAAAUCCCCGGGCUCAACCCGGGAACUGCGUCCGAUACUGGGGGGCUUGAAUCCGGGAGAGGGAUGUGGAAUUCCAGGUGUAGCGGUGAAAUGCGUAGAUAUCUGGAGGAACACCGGUGGCGAAGGCGGCAUCCUGGACCGGCAUUGACGCUGAGGAGCGAAAGCCAGGGGAGCAAACGGG
rnacentral:rRNA from 1 species